rnacentral:tRNA from 1 species
UGGAGCAGUUGGCAGCUCGUUGGGCUCAUAACCCAAAGGUCGGAGGUUCGAGUCCUC